rnacentral:lncRNA from 1 species
CUCUGCCGGGGCCGCGGACACCGCCGCUUAGCGGCCGGGCGGGGCGCUGGCCGUGUCGCCUGGCCCUGCCGGAGCCCGCGUGGGCCCGGGACACGCGUGAUUACAGACAGGCCGUUGAGCGCGUGCCCGGCGGCUGCGGGGCUGCCGUUCGCCACGAGCGCAGGGCCGGUGGAAUCGGAGAACGGCCCCGUGCCGCCCGGUCAACAAGCCACAUUGUUUGUGCAAAUGGUUUUGGCCCACUGAGACACCUUUAUCACGUGGUGGGAACUCUCUGGACACCCACAUUCCCAGACACCAGUGUACUUCAUGAGGUUCUGAGCAGAGCAGUCAGGACUUGUGUCAACCCUCUUCCACAACACAGACCAACGUCACCAGCUCGGGUUCCGGGUGCACGUGACUUUCGGGGAGCCGCUGCAGAUCCCAGCGGUCGGGGCCCAGGGUACGGAAGGUGGAACCCGGACUCGCACCAUCUCGCGGGCGGUUCCCCGCACCUAGGACUCUCCCUUCAGGAAACCCCCAAAAUAUGCUGCCAGGAAGGGGGGUACGAUUUUUGCCACCGCGUGGGGGAGCGAAGAGGCUCCAGCUUGUAUUUCUGCCCCGGAGCCCGCAAGACACAAAGGAGAGGGUGCGCCCAGGCUGAGCCCGGGCACCCAGGAGCCGGCCAGGGCCGCGUCGCAGGUGGCCCGUCGGGGUCCCCACCCUCAGGAGGACUGCUGUGGCUCUGUCACCACCAUCUUGAAAUCCUUCAUAUUUUCUGA